rnacentral:piRNA from 1 species
UGAUGAGGUGAUGUUUGUGGAAAUGUGUGU